rnacentral:rRNA from 1 species
AGAGUUUGAUCCUGGCUCAGAUUGAACGCUGGCGGCAUGCUUUACACAUGCAAGUCGAACGGUAACAGGGAGCUUGCUCCGCUGACGAGUGGCGAACGGGUGAGUAAUAUAUCGGAACGUACCCAAGAGUGGGGGAUAACGUAGCGAAAGUUACGCUAAUACCGCAUACGAUCUAAGGAUGAAAGCAGGGGACCGCAAGGCCUUGUGCUCCUGGAGCGGCCGAUAUCUGAUUAGCUAGUUGGUGAGGUAAAGGCUCACCAAGGCAACGAUCAGUAGCUGGUCUGAGAGGACGACCAGCCACACUGGAACUGAGACACGGUCCAGACUCCUACGGGAGGCAGCAGUGGGGAAUUUUGGACAAUGGGGGCAACCCUGAUCCAGCAAUGCCGCGUGAGUGAAGAAGGCCUUCGGGUUGUAAAGCUCUUUUGUCAGGGAAGAAACGGGUGGGGCUAAUAUCCCCAUCUAAUGACGGUACCUGAAGAAUAAGCACCGGCUAACUACGUGCCAGCAGCCGCGGUAAUACGUAGGGUGCAAGCGUUAAUCGGAAUUACUGGGCGUAAAGCGUGCGCAGGCGGUUUUGUAAGUCUGUCGUGAAAUCCCCGGGCUUAACCUGGGAAUGGCGAUGGAGACUGCAAGGCUAGAGUUUGGCAGAGGGGGGUAGAAUUCCACGUGUAGCAGUGAAAUGUGUAGAGAUGUGGAGGAACACCGAUGGCGAAGGCAGCCCCCUGGGUCAAGACUGACGCUCAUGCACGAAAGCGUGGGGAGCAAACAGGAUUAGAUACCCUGGUAGUCCACGCCCUAAACGAUGUCUACUAGUUGUCGGGUCUUAAUUGACUUGGUAACGCAGCUAACGCGUGAAGUAGACCGCCUGGGGAGUACGGUCGCAAGAUUAAAACUCAAAGGAAUUGACGG